CRCGGUAAUACGUAGGGUGCGAGCGUUAAUGCGGUAAUACUGGACGUAAGCGGCGCAGACGGUUACUUAAGCAGGAUGUGAAAUCCCCGGCUCAACCCGGAACUGCGUUCUGAACUGGGUGACUCGAGUGUGUCAGAGGGAGGUAGAAUUCCACGUGUAGCAGUGAAAUGCGUAGAGAUGUGGAGGAAUACCGAUGGCGAAGGCAGCCUCCUGGGACAACACUGACGUUCAUGCCCGAAAGCGUGGGUAGCAAACAGGAUUAGAUACCCUGGUAGUCCACGCCCUAAACGAUGUCAAUUAGCUGUUGGGCAACUUGAUUGCUUAGUAGCGUAGCUAACGCGUGAAAUUGACCGCCUGGGGAGUACGGUCGCAAGAUUAAAACUCAAAGGAAUUGACGGGGACCCGCACAAGCGGUGGAUGAUGUGGAUUAAUUCGAUGCAACGCGAAGAACCUUACCUGGUCUUGACAUGUACGGAAUCCUCCAGAGACGGAGGAGUGCCUUCGGGAGCCGUAACACAGGUGCUGCAUGGCUGUCGUCAGCUCGUGUCGUGAGAUGUUGGGUUAAGUCCCGCAACGAGCGCAACCCUUGUCAUUAGUUGCCAUCAUUCAGUUGGGCACUCUAAUGAGACUGCCGGUGACAAGCCGGAGGAAGGUGGGGAUGACGUCAAGUCCUCAUGGCCCUUAUGACCAGGGCUUCACACGUCAUACAAUGGUCGGUACAGAGGGUAGCCAAGCCGCGAGGCGGAGCCAAUCUCACAAAACCGAUCGUAGUCCGGAUUGCACUCUGCAACUCGAGUGCAUGAAGUCGGAAUCGCUAGUAAUCGCAGGUCAGCAUACUGCGGUGAAUACGUUCCCGGGUCUUGUACACACCGCCCGUCACACCAUGGGAGUGGGGGAUACCAGAAGUAGGUAGGGUAACCGCAAGGAGUCCGCUUACCACGGUAUGCUUCAUGACUGGGGUGAAGUCGUAACAAGGUAGCCGUAGGGGAACCUGCGGCUGGAUCACCUCCUUUCUAGAG
rnacentral:rRNA from 1 species